rnacentral:lncRNA from 1 species
CUUCAUUUUUUCCUUCCACCAUAAUUAAUCUGUAUCUUCUUAUUUCUUCCAGAAUGGAUUUUUGUCUGCAUUGCCUUAUUUUGGUUGUUGGUUAUGUAUGAUUCUGUCUGGUCAAGCUGCUGACAAUUUAAGGGCAAAGUGGAAUGUUUCAACUAUAUGUGUUCGCAGAAUUUUUACCCUUAUUGGUAUGCUGGUAUCCUCCUGGGCAUCACGAAUACAUUUGCCACUAUUCCAGGAAUGGUGGGGCCUGUCAUUGCUAAAAGCCUGACCCCUGAUAACACUGUUAGAGAAUGGCAAAUUGUUUUUUGUAUCGCUGCUGCUAUUAAUGUAUUUGGUGCCAUUUUCUUUGUACUAUUGGCCAAAGGCGAAGUGCAGAAGUGGGCUGUCAGUGAUUACCAUGGACACAAAAACUGAAGAAAACAAUAAAUAAUCCUCUUUCUAUUAAUGUACUUUUAUUUAUCAUGUAACCUGAAAAGUGCCUUUGAUGUUUUAAUGUGUAAGCAUUCUAUAUAUUAAAAAAUGUACUUGUAUUAAAUUUUAAGGCUUGUAAUCAUGAAGUGUCACUAGUUGCCAGAUUAGGAAAAUUUGCUCUUUUUAAUAAUUAAUAAUAUAUAUGCAGGACUUUAAACUUUAGGUUCAGAUACCUGGCUGCAAGUCAGGUGACAUGAAAUAGGAGAACUCUAUUUAUUGUUAAGGGCCACAUUUAAGGGAAUGAAAUGAAAUGACCCUCUUAUACUGCUUAUCAAACUAGAUAAUAACCUCAGGUUUUGGUAAACACCUGUUUUUGUUUACUUUUCUCAUGAAAACUAUUUGUUAUUAGCUCUCUGUGACACUUAGUCUCAAACUUCAGCAUCUCCAUAGAGCUGCUAGCCACUGUAUAAUUACACCUGGCACCUAAAUUGAGCAAAGCAUGCCCAGACAGCUGCCAAGCAUUCUCUCCCUGGCAUCAGAGACAGAAUGCCCAGCAUUUAUCAGAGGCAGCACCCAAGUCAGAGCCAAUGCCAAAGUCUUUGUAUGGUGUUCUCCUUCUGGGGCUAUUAAUGUGUAUAUGAAGCCCUGAAUAGACAAGAGCAGUGAGAUCCACAAUUAUGGUCUUGAUGCAGCCUCAAACUUCCCCUUCCCAACACUUUGGACUAUCUACUCUCAUAGAAUCUGGAAAAAAAAAAAAAGAGACCCAAAAUAUACCACAAAAAAAAGAACACCCUACAAAAAAAAAACUCACAUGAAAAACACAAUAAAAACUCAAAAAAUAUGUUUUUAAAAACACAAAAAAAAAACAAAAAAAAAUUAAAAAUCUCUUUCUUCAGCCGGCUUCAUGUAAGCUUCUGGUUAGAAUUUAAAGUGACUUUUAGGGCUGGGAAUAUAGCUCAGUGGUAGAGUGCUUGCCUAGUACUCAUAAGACCCUGGGUUUAAUUUCCAGCACCAUAAAAAUAAAUAAGUGAAAGUGGCUUUUUAAGGACCACAGGGCCUGUGGCCUAUGGAAUCAUCUGUACUGUUUGUUCCUGAAAUCUUAUUUUUCCUGAUUCAUCUAUGGUGGUUAUUGAGCAUACUUUGAGGGCAUUUAUGUUUAAAAUUUGGUUUAUGUUUUGUUUAUGAUUACCUGUAAUGUUUUAACUGAAAAUGUUUAAUGUAAGAUGAUGUGAAUAUAUUUAUGUAAAUUAAUUUUUAAUGUGUAAAUAUAAAUUAAGUUGCUAUGGUGAUAUUUCUUUUAUAAAUCAUCAAAAUAAACCUUUUUGAUUUUUCAAUCUGAC